rnacentral:rRNA from 1 species
UACGUAGGGUGCGAGCGUUAAUCGGAAUUACUGGGCGUAAAGCGUGCGCAGGCGGUUUUGUAAGACAGGCGUGAAAUCCCUCGGCUUAACCGGGGAACUGCAUCUGAUACUGGAUGGCUUGAGUUCGGGAGAGGGAUGCGGAAUUCCAGGUGUAGCGGUGAAAUGCGUAGAUAUCUGGAGGAACACCGGUGGCGAAGGCGGCAUCCUGGACCGACACUGACGCUGAGGAGCGAAAGCCAGGGGAGCAAACGGG